ACAGAGGGAAGAAAAUGUAAAGGACAUAAAGGCCCCACCACCUGUUAAAUGUGAUAAAAAUGUGCUCCAGGGGCUGCAGUGCUUGCUUGGGACUGGGAAGAGCUGUUUCCAUAUCCUGUUCAGACCUUCCUCAUGACCUUUAGUGAGAUAUUUAGGACCUGAUCCUCCAGGAUCUUCAAACCUCAGAAGGCCUGGGGCAUAGGAUGUGUCCACCUUGCAGAAAUACCAGCCUGGGAUUAUCUUGCUGUGAAUAAGUAAGGUCUCAGCCCUUCAGAGCAAAGGAGCCCAGAGGCAGCCUACUGCCUCGGCCUGGUAACACUCCACCACUGGCUCUUCUUCCAGUAUCUAAAGGGGGCCUAUAAGAAUACUGGAGAAGGACUCUUCAUUAGGGUCUGUAGUGACAGGACAGGGGGUAAUGGGUUAAAACUUAAACAGGGGAAGUUUAGAUUGGAUAAAAGAAGGAAGUUCUUUACUGUAAGGGUGGUGAGGCACUGGAAUGGGUUGCCCAGGGAAGUUGUGAGUGCUCCAUCCCUGGUGGUAUUCAAGGCCAGGUUGGACAGAGCCUUGGGUGACAUGGUUUAGUGUGAGGUGUCCCUGCCCAUGGCAGGGGGGUUGGAACUGGAUGAUCUUAAGGUCCUUUCCAACCCUAACUAUUCUAUGAUUCUUACUCAGUGGGAUCAACCAAGUGCCUCCACAGCAUUCUGCUGCCUUACACACAUUUACACUUAGUCUUAAAACGUUGACAAGACUGACAAGUGAUGGCUUCACUGCUUUGGGCCCACAAAUGAAGUGAAGAUGAUGACUUCUUCUUCCAAGUGAAUCCUGCUGAAGGCCCAGCUUACAAAUGGGCUGAAGUGGGGCUCUGGCUGAGGAAUCCUACUCAGAUCCAUCACCAAGUCCUUCAGCAUGUUGCAGCAGUCAGUGCUGAAGAGGGAGAAGGAAGAAACACAACAAGGUGUACGUGUGGCAAUCAGUUUCUCAUGAGUGUCUUGCUGUUAAUCACAAAUCGCCAGAGCCUGAUUUAGUC